rnacentral:rRNA from 1 species
UACGUAGGGUGCGAGCGUUAAUCGGAAUUACUGGGCGUAAAGCGUGCGCAGGCGGUUGUGCAAGACAGAUGUGAAAUCCCCGGGCUUAACCGUGGGAACUGCAUUUGUGACUGCACGGCUAGAGUGUGUCAGAGGGGGUAGAAUUCCACGUGUAGCAGUGAAAUGCGUAGAUAUGUGGAGGAAUACCGAUGGCGAAGGCAGCCCCCUGGGAUAACACUGACGCUCAUGCACGAAAGCGUGGGGAGCAAACAGG